rnacentral:rRNA from 1 species
UACGGAGGGCGCGAGCGUUAAUCGGAAUUGCUGGGCGUAAAGCGCGCGUAGGCUGUUGUGUAAGUUGGGGGUGAAAUCCCACGGCUCAACCGAGGAACAGCCCUUGAUACUGCGCGACUUGAAUCCGGGAGAGGGUGGCGGAAUUCCAGGUGUAGGAGUGAAAUCCGUAGAUAUCUGGAGGAACAUCAGUGGCGAAGGCGGCCACCUGGACCGGUAUUGACGCUGAGGCGCGAAAGCGUGGGGAGCAAACAGG